ensembl:ncRNA R03A10.11 ncRNA
ACUUGAAGGACGCAAAAACAAUAAAAUAAGGAAGCUUAUGUAUAUCGGAAAAUCAACUUUCGAACCAUAACACUGCUGAGAGCUUUUCGGAUAAAAUGAGUGGGAAAGUAGAGAAGAGUGUCGGCACUGAUAUCAAGGCGGAGUUUAUUUCUGGUUCGAGUGUUUUUUAUGCUGAUGAAUAAUGUGCAGGCAAAAUAAUAGUGUC